rnacentral:lncRNA from 10 species
CUGAUCCAUAUGAAUUCCUCUUAUUAAGAAAAAUAAAGCAUCCAGGAUUCAAUGAAGAACUGACUAUCACCUUGUUAAUCAUUCAGAAACAUGUUGCAGGCUUAAGCCAUUUUUGAUAUAGAUACUGAAACAAUUACUUGCUAAGAGCAAACUUGAAGUAACAAUUUGGACAAGACAGCAAAUGCUAUUGUCCAAGUUUUCUAAAGAAGAAUCUGAAGUGAAAUGACAUCAAGAGACCUAUCAAGACCUGUAUCCAGGAAAAGACCAAACCAAUGCAGACCAAACCAAUGCAGAACUCCUAUGUGCUGAUGGUGGUCUUACAUUUCCCUAAGUUUCUGCCGACUAAACUGUGCACACGUUCUCAGGACCUCCUGAAGCUGCGUCACAGGCACUAAUCAAAGAACACAACCAAGAGUUUGGCCUUUUCUUCAGCACUGGGAAUUGUGAUCCAAAGCUUUUCCUGAUGAAGCACAAAGUUGGAGAAAAAAAACGCAAACUAAACAACAACAAUGAAACAGAACAGAGUGAAUCUGCUGUAGCUCAAGAGAGGACGUAGCUGCCCCCACUCCGCAUCCCCGGGCUCGGGUUUGCCUUGCUGACCUCUGCUGCCACCUGGUGCCGCACAGAGAAACUGAGGAGAAACCACAUCAGUCUCCUUCAGCCUCAGCUUCACAUCUGUGGGUCAAGUAACCCUUUCAGAAGCUGAAUAAUGUGGGAAAGCUUUCCUCUCAGGAAAAUGCACACAUCCAACUUUGAGAAGAUGCCCUUGGGGGCGCUUCAAGGAUUCUAGAUAAUAACCCCCUUUCCCGAACAUCCAAGAACCUAAGAUUUUUUUUUUUUUUUUGAGAAAGUCUCGCUCUCUCUCCCAGUCUGGAGUGCAGUGGCGUGAUCUUGGCUCACUGCCAGCUCCACCUCCCAGGUUCACGCCAUUCUCCUGCUUCAGCCUCCCUAGUAGCUGGGGCUACAGGCACCUGCCACCAAACCCGGCUAAUUUUUUUGUAUUUUUAGUAGAGACGGGGUUUCACCGUGUUAGCCAGGAUCGUCUUGAUCUCCUGACCUUGUGAUCCACCCGCCUCGGCCUCCCAAAUUGCUGGGAUUACAGAUGUGAGCCACCGCACCUGGUCCAAGAGCCCAAGUUUUAGAUCUAGAGUGAUGUCAGCAUGACAUUGAUUUCCUGAGGCCCAGGGGCGAAGGAGCUGAGGACAGCAGAGGGGUGAAGGAACUCAGCUACAGACAGCAGCAGCUGAUGCACAGGCCUCCCAGCGCCUGAAGUCACCCGGAAUUGGGAAGUGCUCAGAAGCUUACAAAGCUGCCUCGAGGUGGGAACAUGACAUAAAUCCAAGAGCAGAUCCCUGAUCCUAUAAAAAUGUACUAGAUGCAGUGGGGGCAUUUUAAAUGAGCAGAGAAGGACAGACAGAUAAACAGAAGGACAAACAGUAUUGGGAUUGGGAUAAAUGCUCAGCUUUUGCCCAAAUCUUAGUGACUUAAGCAUCACUUAUUUGCUCACGAUUCUGUGGCUGGACCAUUUGGUUUGGCUCACAGGGCAGGGACUGUGCUGGUCUUACCUGAGCAGACCUGCAUGUCUGCGGUCAACUGGGUUGGCAGAGACAGAGUGACUGUCUUCCUCCAGGAAGCAGCAGGUUAACUGGUUGGCAGAGACAGAGGGACAGAGGGACUGUCUUCCUCCAGGAAGCAGCAGGUUAACUGGUUGGCAGAGACAGAGGGACUGAGGGAUUGUCUUCCUCCAGGAAGCAGCAGGUUAACUGGUUGGCAGAGACAGAGGGACAGAGGGACUGUCUUCCUCCAGGAAGCAGCAGGUUAACUGGUUGGCAGAGACAGAGGGACUGAGGGACUGUCUUCCUCCAGGAAGCAGCAGGUUAACUGGUUGGCAGAGACAGAGGGACAGAGGGACUGUCUUCCUCCAGGAAGCAGCAGGUUAACUGGUUGGCAGAGACAGAGGGACUGAGGGACUGUCUUCCUCCAGGAAGCAGCAGGUUAACUGGUUGGUAGAGACAGAGGGACUGAGGGACUGUCUCCCCCCAGGAAGCAGCAGGUU